UAAGUAGGCUUAGCUAAAUAGUGC
rnacentral:siRNA from 1 species